AAGAAAAGUGGCCAAAUUCAAAUACCUGUGGCACGUUCAAGUGGGAAAAUAAAGAAGAAAAAGCCCAUACCACUUCAGUCUUUUUUGAUUAUAUUAAAUAUCCAGGUUUGUGUGAUGCAAUCCCAAGUAAUAUUGGUAUCACUGUACUAUGAGCUAUAAGAGAAAUGUUUUAAACUUCCUAUUUUAAGGAAUAGUUUUUUAUUAUCAUGGCUUAUAAUUUGGUUAAUUAGCUUGUUUUCAAAACAAGGGUUCUAGUCAGUGGUUGCCAGGUGUAUUCCAUGUAAUUUAGAAGAGUUCGCCUCUCUAAAUAAAUGGGUGCUACUGACAAAGACUACUCAACUUGUGAAAGUCCAACUUGCAAGCAUCCUUAAUAUCAUUUCAGGAAAAAAGUCAUCUAGCUAAAUUUUUACAUAUUUAACAAUAUAAUGUUGGGAAACAAACAGAACUUCAACUCUGUAUUCUACUUGAGCCUUUUUCCUUUCUCCAUUUAACUCCUCAUUCCACUGUAGCUUAUAGAGACUUCUUUGGAGAGUUACUAUUUGGAGACAAGUUGUAAAAAAAGAAUGUCACUAUUUUUCCUGCUGAGAACAUGCUUUUGGUUUUGCGAUGAGCUGGAGAAUGCGACUGGCAGCACAGGACUAGGGUACCAGAGGGCAGACUGUACAGAGACCUGUGAGAAUGGUCAGAACUCCAUGGAUCAUGAUGGAACGAUCAGGGACACUAUAAUAGCGUUCAUUUUAUGUAUUAAGCCAGAUUUGCACAACAAUUCCAUUGUAAUAUAAAUGUAAUCUUUAGAAGUAAUUUUAAAGCAGCAAAUGUAUAAAUGCCAACUCUCAAGUAAAAGAAAACAAUUUUCCUAAGCCAAAUGUCUUUUGUAAGAGAUUUCAAUGGUCAUUUGAUUUUAGUUUAAAGAUCAUCUGACCUUAUGAUUCACCCGAUUCUUAAAUGCACAUCUCAAAUGUAAUUGUCUUCAUUUGGAGUUAAUGUAU
rnacentral:lncRNA from 1 species